CCGAGCAUAGCUCAGUUGGUAGAGCGGAAGACUGUAGUGUUAAACUGUCAUCUUUAGGUCACUAGUUCGAAUCUGGUUGCUCGGA